rnacentral:rRNA from 1 species
AGUGAACGCUGGCGGUAGGCCUAACACAUGCAAGUCGAACGGCAGCACAGUAAGAGCUUGCUCUUACGGGUGGCGAGUGGCGGACGGGUGAGGAAUACAUCGGAAUCUACUUUUUCGUGGGGGAUAACGUAGGGAAACUUACGCUAAUACCGCAUACGACCUACGGGUGAAAGCAGGGGAUCUUCGGACCUUGCGCGAUUGAAUGAGCCGAUGUCGGAUUAGCUAGUUGGCGGGGUAAAGGCCCACCAAGGCGACGAUCCGUAGCUGGUCUGAGAGGAUGAUCAGCCACACUGGAACUGAGACACGGUCCAGACUCCUACGGGAGGCAGCAGUGGGGAAUAUUGGACAAUGGGCGCAAGCCUGAUCCAGCCAUACCGCGUGGGUGAAGAAGGCCUUCGGGUUGUAAAGCCCUGUUGUUGGGAAAGAAAAGCAGCAGGUUAAUACCCCGCCGUUCUGACGGUACCCAAAGAAUAAGCACCGGCUAACUUCGUG